GCACAUUUAUCGACUGGAUUAUUCUACAAAGGGCCAGACGUGCAUAAAAGUGUACAUUAGAUACACACCACCUAAGAGCCUCUUUAAAAACCGUCUGAAAACAAAAAUACUGACUGGAAACACUUCAGCACCAGAAGCAGCUAAUGAACGCGAGGUAAAUAGAUGCCUGACCUCUAAUUUGCUCUUUACAUGUUCUAUGGUCACAUAUUCCAUGUACAAAGAAAGGCAAACCAUGCACAGCAGACUUGGGAACAGGAUCAUUAAUAAACCACCACAAGUGUAUUCAUUAAUAAUAUAUAGAUGCCACACUUGCAUAUGUAUUGGGAAAAUCAGCAGGUGCUCAAGGCUUGAGUCAUGUCAGCCAGUUUAAAUAGUAGGGAUUAUGACUUGUCCCUUUUAGUUGGAAUGAGAGAAAAAAUUGGUGCUGUGUCAGCAAAUACUCGUCUUCCUUCACUGGAGAUGGACUGAAUCUCCCAUGCUGGGCCAAGAAGCCAUGAUGUUGCAGCUCCUCCCAUUAAACCUCCGAGAUGUCCCCAGUUGUCGAUCCCUUUGGUCAUUAGUCCAAUUGCCAAAUUUAGAACAAUCACAUUUGCUAUGUAUCGAAGAUCCCCCUCGGUGCCUUUGACCAUGCCCCUAUGCCUCAAA
rnacentral:misc_RNA from 1 species